UACAUGACUCUAUUUACCUAAUUUCAUUACAUUAUCCCGCAUAAAACUGUUAAUAGACAACCGAAAAUUAUACCCGUGUAUACGUUGUUUAUUUCACGAUGACGUCAUUUGGGUUUUGCCCAUUUUGAAUCAUGUCACAGGUCACAGUUUGUUUAUCUUCACUGAGUUAGUUUCACAAUGUUAUUAUUAUCGACGCAUGAUCAGGUUAUCGGGGUGAUUUUGAUAGCUGGAAUGACUUAUAAAAAUAACUCCCGGCAAUUCAGUAGCUCUUUUGAAUUGCUCUAGUAAACAGCUCCGGCAUUGAGUUUUUAGAAUAAAAAAAUGAGCGAAUACCAAUAUUUGACUUCGGAAAUCCAAGUGCCGAAAGAAUGGCCGGUGAACAUUGCACGACAAUUAUUUGAACAUCUUGUUAAAAAUGCAACGAUACGUCAUCGAAAAGGUCAGCAAGUAGUCGUUACCAUAGAAAACGUAUCGGCAGUAGUUACCAAAUUUGAAAACAAGCCGGGAUAUAUUUUAGAAAAAAUAGAAGAAAUUUAAACGUCUAAAUAAACACAUCAAGCUAAUACACAAAUGCACGGAAAAUUAUGAGGAAUAGUUACCUCAAUGCCGGAGCUGUUUACUAGAGCAAUUCAAAAGAGCUACUGAAUUGCCGGGAGUUAUUUUUAUAAGUCAUUCCAGCUAUCAAAAUCACCCCGAUAACCUGAUCAUGCGUCGAUAAUAAUAACAUUGUGAAACUAACUCAGUGAAGAUAAACAAACUGUGACCUGUGACAUGAUUCAAAAUGGGCAAAACCCAAAUGACGUCAUCGUGAAAUAAACAACGUAUACACGGGUUUGAGCGGCAGAAUCACAACUUUCGCCGGAAAAAUAAGAUCUAUUUUUUAAACGUCUAAAUAAACACAUCAAGCUAAUACACAAAUGCACGGAAAAUUAUGAGGAAUAGUUACCUCAAUGCCGGAGCUGUUUACUAGAGCAAUUCAAAAGAGCUACUGAAUUGCCGGGAGUUAUUUUUAUAAGUCAUUCCAGCUAUCAAAAUCACCCCGAUAACCUGAUCAUGCGUCGAUAAUAAUAACAUUGUGAAACUAACUCAGUGAAGAUAAACAAACUGUGACCUGUGACAUGAUUCAAAAUGGGCAAAACCCAAAUGACGUCAUCGUGAAAUAAACAACGUAUACACGGGUAUAAUUUUCGGUUGUCUAUUAACAGUUUUAUGCGGGAUAAUGUAAUGAAAUUAGGUAAAUAGAGUCAUGUAGGGCAAGUUUGCGCA